rnacentral:rRNA from 1 species
GGCGAGUGAACGGGGAAAAGCCCAGCGCUGAAUCCCAUGGCCACUGGUCAUCGGGAACUGUAGCGUAUAGGUGUAACUUUUCAAUGAUUUUCGCUUACCCAAAGUUCCCUUGAGUGGGGCUAUAGUCCAUAGAGGGUGCUAGGCCUGUACGGGUAGUGAAUUUUAUUGAUACUGGUUAGCACCUUAGAGUCGAGUUGCCUGGGAACGCAGCUCAAAGUAGGUGGUAAACCUCAUCUAAGGCUAAAUAUGACUACGAGUCCGAUAGCGAACAAGUACCGUGAGGGAAAGUUGCAAAGAACUUUGAAGAGAGAGUUCAAGAGGGCGUGAAACCGCUGAGAAGGAAGCGGAUAGAGUUAACGAAACACAAUGGCAUUCAUCCAAUCAGUGUUGUUGAACGCUAUAUAGGUGUGCACACUAUCCAAUCACUGAAUGGCUUAGGGCACCUAUAUGAUUCCUGUUCAAUAACUACUGUUGAUUGGUGCUUUUGCCAUUGGUAUGCGCUGAGAGGUUCGCUAUUGAUGUUGGUGCGUUAAUACCGUCCCAAAAGAGGACUGCAUCCGAAUGGAUGUAGAAACCUUUAACGGUUGAAGCGUAUCCGUAGUGAAUUGAUAACGUCGCUGUAGCACCGCUAGCUAUUUUAUAUGGUGCAAUUGGUCACAAUGUGGUUAUGUUUAAUUAUUUGCAGUCGCAUGCGACUUGCUUUUAGUUGUAGAUAGCCCAUUUGUGGCUAUACACAACAAUUGCAUUUGGCGGUGUGUCUCGGUGUAAAAGUUGACCACCUAUCCGACCCGUCUUGAAACACGGACCAAGGAGUUUAGCAUAUGCGCAAGUCAUUGGGCGGUAAACCUAAAGGCGUAAUGAAAGUAAAGAUUGCUGUUUGAUGCAAUUGAUAUGGGAUCUACAUUGGAAUUGGCGCUUCAAAACACUAAAACCAUGUAGCGCACCAUAGCCCCGUCCCGUUGCCUGCAAUAGGGCGGAGGUAGAGCGCAUACGCUGAGACCCGAAAGAUGGUGAACUAUGCCUGAGCAGGAUGAAGCCAGAGGAAACUCUGGUGGAAGUCCGAAGCGGUUCUGACGUGCAAAUCGAUCGUCUGACUUGGGUAUAG